GUGCCGCGGGGAAGGGCCGGGGGCGCAGUGCAGGCAGCUGUGUCAAUCGUUUCCCCUCCUGGGACCCGCCGGUGUCUAGGGACGGCGGGUUGUGCAGCUGCGCCGGGCCUGCUGGGGCCGCCGCCCGGGAGCAGGGAGGAGGGGAGCUCGGGGCUCGGAGCCGCCCUCGACCCUGCCUGGCCGGCGCGCGCCCGGCGCAGGUACCGACGGCAGGGACCCGGAGGCCCGGGGUGCUGGGCAUCUGACGGCGGUGGCCGCGAGCGACGUCAGCCCCGGCUCUUGAAUGUGCCCCGUACAACCCCUGGGCCCUUACCUUCGCAGUUCUUCCUUGUGUCCCGCACCAGUGAAAAGUGACCCCGAGAAUACUGGAUGGGUUGCAACAGGAAAACGGCGUGCUAAAGAGUAGGACCAUCGGUUUGUCCUAAGAGAGAUGCAUGAUUCAUCGGGCUCGGACGGCCCUGCUGUUUGGUGUGAUGCCAGGCUCUCUGGAAGGCUUCAUUUGCAUCCCUGCCUGUUAUCCCUGUUUUACAGGUGAAGAAAUGGAGAGAUUGGCAUCUGCUCAAGGAUAAUUGGAAUAUGUUCUCCAGAGAUGGUGACAUCCUUCAGGGAAUAAACUGCUGUCUAGGAUAUAAACUCUAUGAGGACAGGGGUUGUUGACUUGUUCGCUGCUGUAUGCCCAGCACACCUAGAAUUGUGCCUCACACACAGAAAGACGCCUGCCACAGCAUGGCUUGCCAAGCAGUGAGUAGGUCCACACCUGGGAUCCGAACUGGCAAACCCCGGGCCACCGAAGCAGAAUGUGCGAACCUAACCACUGUGCAACCAGACCGGCCUCCAGUGAUAUAGUCCUGAACCUGAGCCUUAAGAAACCUUGAAGGCUUCCAUGGUCUCUCUGGGAUCCCUGCCUCCACUGUGAGAACAGGCCUGGGCUAGCCUGUUGGAAGAUGAGAAGCCACAUGGAAAAGGGCUGAGGUCAUCCUACACCACUCAACAGCCAGCAGACCCCAAACAUGCAAGCCCAGCCAGGAUCAGCACAGCCACCUGCCUGACCUGCAGCCGCCCACAGAUGCAGGAGCCCACCUGCAACCAGAAGAACCGCCCAGCUAACUUGUAAACUCAUGAACAAUAAUAACUAGUUACUAUGUUCAGCUUCUGACUUGUGGAAUGGUUUAGUGUAUACAGCAUUAUUGUGGCAAUAGAUAAUUGAUGGUUAAUGCCUCCUAUCUGGGUCUCAGCCUCAGAGAGGCUUUCCUAACUCCCCAGGCCAUCUAAGUCAGCUUCGCAAUCCCUCAAAUACCGAUGUAUUAUUUUCUCAAUAACACUCUCCAAAAUUAUUUACCUCUUUAUUACCUGUUUCCCACACUAGACUGUCAACUCAGUGAAGGCAGACACCUUGCCCAUCCUGUUCCCUGUUCUCUCCUUGACACCCAGCACAAUACUGCACUGUCCAGCUAUGUGUGUCCACUGAGUGCUGGAAAUAGGGCUAGUCCAAUAUGAGAUGUCCUGAAAAUAUAAUAUACACACUGAAUUUCAAAAGGCUUAGUACCAAAGAAAAAGAAUAUAAAGUAUCUCAAGAAUUUUUCUAGUGACUAAAUGUUAAAAUAAUAUUUUGACUAUAUUAAGUACAGUAUAUUAUUAAGAUUAAUUUCAUCUGUUUCUUUUUACCUCCUUAAAUGUGGC
ensembl:lncRNA